CAGAAUGGAUUUUGCGUGCUUUAGUUGAUCAUAUUGCCAGAUUUUUUGACUUAUUGUUAAUUUGUCUUCAUUGCUGCCAGAUGUGCUGAUGUGGUGAAAGACAUUGGUACGGGUAUUUGAUUAUAAUUAAGUGCAUUUGAAAGAGAUUAAUUUUUCUUCAGUUAAGCACAAACCUGUAGGUCAAUAGGGCAAGAAAUCUAAAAUUUGAUUCACUCAAUAGCUCUCAUUUUUCUCCCCCAAACCCCACGCCCCAGUGGCCCUGUUUUUAGGGAGAGGAGUGCUGGAACCUGUGAUAGCUCAUCUUUAUAACCAGACAUUGCUUUCUGACAUAUUAAAAAAUACCCAAGUUAAAAACAGUAACUCCAGAUUUAGUGUUUGUCCUUUAAAACUCCAUGUUAAAGGUCCGUUAUGAAAAACAAGCUUUAAAUUCUGUCAUAGGUGAAAGUUGAGAACAGUGGCAAUGCCAUUCCUUUUUCAUCUUUGCAAAGAUACUAAUCUUCCAAAGGCUUGGAUGUCAGUACCUAAGUAAAUGUUCAGGGUCAGUGACUGAAUUUUAAAUGCUUUUUAUCAAGUUGCAUUUAGCAAUCUAGACAUAGGAAUUACUUAAAAUUUUAUUUGAUGCUUUAAAUGCCGAGAAAUGGAAAUGAAAGUUCCCAAGUCCUCUUCUGCUACCUUGAGUUUUUAUGUUUUAUAAGUGGAUUGUGCUUAAAUAUACAGGUGGUAUCUGUAAAGUGCGAGAUAUACCGUAAAGUUUCAAAAUCUUUGUAGUUCUUUUUAAACCAGUGAUGUAACCAAACACCUCUUUUAAAGGCUUGGAAGUUUGCUUGGCUUUUUUUUUCCCCUCCUCUCUAAGAUGCAGAUGUUAGUGAGCUGGUAGUUGGGUAUUUACUCAGCUGAAAACUACAACGUAAGUUGAUGUGAUGGGGAAAUAAAUUGCAGCCAACCCUGAGUAAAGCUUACACUGCAUCUCAAGAGUUAGAAUGAGAAACAAAUAUUGUGUUGCUGAAUGACAAAACAGACAUUUUGCAGUUUUAUGACCAGCAGCAGCUGGAAUCUUGCCACAGGCUUGCUUAAAACUUAUAGAAUGUUCUUUAAGGGCAGUAUCCACUUAAUGCUUUACACAACAAAACGUUUUGCCUGUUGAACUCACACAAGCAGUUGCUGAUGUAUAGUUUCUGCAAGCCCUAAAUUGUUUUAGAUAAUGGAGUUAAUAAUUUACCACAAUUUCUGUGGCACAAAAAUUUCCUAAAUGAGUAACCUAAAUGUGUGUGUGAGAUGACACUAAGGAUACCUGCAUACUGAGCAGUGUUAAAAUUUCAAACACAGCCGUAUGGAGUACUGCUGGAUUUCAGCAGCAAAUGCUUUAAUUUAGAAUUCGUAACUUAAGGGGAUCUUGAAAAAUGGCUAAGAGUUAGAUGCAGAGCUUUCUGCAACUGAGAGCUCGUUAGUGUCACCAAACAUUUCUUAUUUCAGUCUCGGGGAUCUCUUGAACACUUAAGUGUUAUUCUUUGAACCUUUUCAAAAGAAGCUUAAAACUAAGACUUACCUUUGCACUGCAAACAUUUGUGUUCUGCCAGCCUUACAAACCAGGACUAUAAUUGAGCAUUGUGUUUCUUCUUGACUAUAAACAUAAGGCGAAAUUCUGUUAGCUACCUGCAAGAUUUCUUGUUUGAGAUAUGACACAUCUCAGAGAAUUAUACUUUCUCAAUGAAGUCUUCUUUUUUGCUCACUUUGUGUGUUGCUUUGUCAUAGAGAAUGUGUCUUGACUAGUUGGAUGUUAGUUUACAAAUCCUGUGAAAUUGUUUCAUUAAAAAAAUAGAGAGGGGAACCUCCACCUGUUGUGAAAGGGGGAAAAACAAAUGUAUAACAAGAUGCAGUUUGCGUUCAUACCAUUUUAGUUUGAUUAGGAACUUUCCAGAUGCCUUCUGUUGUUAUAUUUCAGGGGACUGUUACAGGAAGGAAUAAAAGCAACAGUGUCUUGACUCACUAAUGUGUGGCAAAAGGUGCUUUUCCUGGUGGUUGUGCUUAAGUAUUAAGGAGUCAGUUUUUCCCCUGAAAUAAGUAUGUGCACACCCAGGCUGUUACUGAAAGGUGCAGGUGGCCUCUCCUGUUUCCCGUGCUGCUCUUUUUCUCAUAGCUCAGUAUUGCUCCCAUGUCCUUGGGGGACCCUCUCUUGUAACUAUGCUCCUCAGGUUCCGGAUUCUCUGCUUGCCCUGGCACUGUGGUGACAGGAUGGGACAAAUGGAUUCAGUUUACAGAGCACAGUGCAAUUGCAGGCAGUAAGAAGUGGUUGUGUGCUGGAAGAGAGGAGGGGGAAGUGUUGGAGAGAGACAGGCUAGCCACAGCUUUAGGAAGAACUUGUUAUGAGUGUACAGAAAAUGCAUAAUUCAGGACACAGGGAUUAAAUAUUAAUAGCACAAUGUUAUAAGCAUAAUAAAGAGCAUUUUUGUACUUUACAAGCUUUACAAUGCUUUUUGUAUAUUCAAUUCAACUCCCCCUCUAUGCUUUCAAGUGCCAGAAGCAGCAGUGUACCAAAGAGCACAUCAUCUGGAGAUUUACCUCUUACUGCAUCUAAAAUCUCCUUUUCUGGUAGACAAAGAAGAUCCAUUUGUUUUUCUGUGUUUGGGUUCAAGACUGAAUAUUGCUGGUACAGUGCAUAGUUUCCCAGAGUCCUGUGGUCUAUGAGGUCCACUGUGUCAGAAUGCGUGUGAUCAUUGUGACUCAAGAAUGCCAUGGGACAGUAGGACCUGAGGGUGAAGUUGGUAGCAGUUCUAAAUUCGCUGCUUAUAAAACAAAUUUUGGCCUUGUUACUUCAGAAACUCUUUUCCCACACAGCAGAGAACAGAACCAUAAAUUACUCUAGAUUAGGGGCUACUGAAUAGCACUUCGGCAUGAUCCUGGUCCUCAGCCAUCCGCAAGGGCAGUGGUGUUGCUGCUAUUCUGUUUGGCUGUUAAAUAUACUGUGUUCUGAAAUUAAUGGUGGCCAGUUUUAGGGUAUGUGAAUUUGAAACGUGUCAUUUGAAAUGGAGAUCUAAUUUACUUGAUAGAGUUAGUAAGAUCAUCUGAAUAUAAAACAAGCUCUGGGAUUUUGUAGACCUCUACUUUGAAAGGCUGGUAUGCAACACUGUCCAAAGACACUCUCAUCUGCCAUAGCAAUAUGGGACCUACUUAUUUUCAGCACUUCCUUUGUAGAUGUGCAUGGACAAGCUGUGACUUAUGAUUUGGGUCUGCUGCUGGAUUAUCAAAAUUCAGGUAUUGAUUAUAAAAACAGGUGAAAUAACGUCUUUUUGGACAGUGAGGCUUUGGAUUCUUUUCUCAAACUUAUGCAAAGCCACAUCAGUUCCUAUCUAGUUAAAGAAGCGACCUUUGGUACUAUUCCUGGUGUUCAGCCUACUUGUUUUAGAAAUCACUGAUAAGAUACUGUCAUGGAGGAAUAGACACUGAUGUCCUUCAAUUGCUUGCAAAAUGUUUGCAAAAUGCUUGUGUUCUGCUGUGACGUGGAGAAUUUGGGGCUCCAUUCAGCCUCUGUUCAUCAGCCAAUGGCGGACUACUCUCAUCCUGAUUUUCAUAGAUGUGCCUGCACAGACAUAUCUAGUUCUGUGUUGGGCUGGCAUGCUACAUGUUAGGGAAGUAGUCAGUGCUACUGUAAAGCAGAGCUACAGAGAUACCGUGAAGGGAAUUCAGUGGAAGAGGGCUAUAGUUCCCCUCUAUGGAGGGAUUUUGAAUGGUUCCCUUGUUCGAAGGGAGUAACUUGUGCAGGUUUUAACAUUUACUCCUCAAAAUUCUAUAAUCUUAUCAAGGUGUUAAAGCUGCCACUUUAUUAUCCCUUGAAUGGGGAAGGUGUGCAUUUUCUGCAGGACAAAGAUAAAUGGAGUUUUUGAAACUGCUUUUCAAUCUCUUUGUGAUUCUAGACUCUUAGAAGUAAGCAGAAAGACUUAGUCCUUCCUUUGGCAUAAGGAGAUCCCUCAUGAUGUGCCUUACUGCAUGCAGAAGAAUUUUGCAGUCUAUUGACUAACCAGAGAGCUCACACAAAGAAAAUAUUUGAUUCACUGGUACCACAUAAUAAUUUCUAACACAUCUCCAAGUGAGUCUUUUGUUCUAUGUUUUUUAAUAGCUGUGGCUGACUAGCACAGCAAUGAAGAAGCUACUGUUUGAUUAAGUGGUAGAAGACAUGUAUAAUUAAGCCAACUCAUAACUGAAACUAGCCACUCUCCUGGCUUAAAAUAAACUGUAUUUGUACUGCUACCUGCUGUGGGUCUGUACACCAGCAGCAUUAAGAAAGCAUCAGUGCUACAGCAGCCAGCUGCCCGUAGCCUGGCCUCUGCCACGGAGUGGUCGGAUUCUUUAUUAGUGUAAAGUUCUUUCCCUUAACCUUCCCUCAGGAAAGGGGAAACACAGCCUCUAUUGUAAUUAGCUAACACAGCCUUCCGUGUAAGCUAAAGAAUGGAAGGUGUCAGGGGUGUUUGCAGCAGCCUCAUAGGUAUUUUCUAUUAGCAGGGAAAAGUUAAUCUGCUCUCAGAUUUUGGCUAGGGCACAAAAACCUAUGUGUAAAAUAUUCUUAGAAUGAAUUAAAUUUCACAUAAAUGUGACCACACAGUAGGUAAAGUAGUAAAAUGGUGGUGAUGAUGGAAAAUAUGACUAAUCAGAAAGCAGCAUUAAUGUAAUGAAUAAAAUUACCCUUUAACAUAAACUGAGGUUCUUAAGCGCCUAAUUUUAAAAAUGUUUAUUAUUCUAUAGCCUAUAACAACUGUGUUAUUAAAACUACUAGUGCACUU
ensembl:lncRNA